rnacentral:rRNA from 1 species
GGCUACCAUGCAAGUCGAGCGGCAGCACGGGUACUUGUACCUGGUGGCGAGCGGCGGACGGGUGAGUAAUGCCUAGGAAUCUGCCUAGUAGUGGGGGAUAACGUCCGGAAACGGGCGCUAAUACCGCAUACGUCCUACGGGAGAAAGUGGGGGAUCUUCGGACCUCACGCUAUUAGAUGAGCCUAGGUCGGAUUAGCUAGUUGGUGAGGUAAUGGCUCACCAAGGCGACGAUCCGUAACUGGUCUGAGAGGAUGAUCAGUCACACUGGAACUGAGACACGGUCCAGACUCCUACGGGAGGCAGCAGUGGGGAAUAUUGGACAAUGGGCGAAAGCCUGAUCCAGCCAUGCCGCGUGUGUGAAGAAGGUCUUCGGAUUGUAAAGCACUUUAAGUUGGGAGGAAGGGCAGUUACCUAAUACGUGAUUGUUUUGACGUUACCGACAGAAUAAGCACCGGCUAACUCUGUGCCAGCAGCCGCGGUAAUACAGAGGGUGCAAGCGUUAAUCGGAAUUACUGGGCGUAAAGCGCGCGUAGGUGGUUUGUUAAGUUGGAUGUGAAAGCCCCGGGCUCAACCUGGGAACUGCAUCCAAAACUGGCAAGCUAGAGUAUGGUAGAGGGUGGUGGAAUUUCCUGUGUAGCGGUGAAAUGCGUAGAUAUAGGAAGGAACACCAGUGGCGAAGGCGACCACCUGGACUGAUACUGACACUGAGGU